GGCAAAUCCCAAAAAUAAACGUCCCAGUUCGGACUGUAGUCUGCAACCCGACUACACGAAGCUGGAAUCGCUAGUAAUCGCGAAUCAGAAUGUCGCGGUGAAUACGUUCCCGGGUCUUGUACACACCGCCCGUCACACCAUGGGAGUCGGGAAUGCCCGAAGUCAGUGACCCAACCAUAUGGAGGGAGCUGCCGAAGGCAGGUCUGAUAACUGGGGUGAAGUCGUAACAAGGUAUC
rnacentral:rRNA from 1 species